AGUCGCCGCGGUAAUACAGAGGGUGCGAGCGUUAAUCGGAUUUACUGGGCGUAAAGCGUGCGUAGGCGGCUAAUUGAGUCGGAUGUGAAAUCCCCGAGCUUAACUUGGGAAUUGCAUUCGAUACUGGUUAGCUAGAGUGUGGGAGAGGAUGGUAGAAUUCCAGGUGUAGCGGUGAAAUGCGUAGAGAUCUGGAGGAAUACCGAUGGCGAAGGCAGCCAUCUGGCCUAACACUGACGCUGAGGUACGAAAGCAUGGGGAGCAAACAGGAUUAGAUACCCCAGUAGUCCCUGUCUCUUAUACA
rnacentral:rRNA from 1 species